rnacentral:lncRNA from 13 species
CAUACAUUCUUUGCAUAGGUCAAUGUCUAGAAGAGUUUUUCCUAGGUUUUUGUUCAGGGUUUUUCAAGUUUCAAGCCUUGCAUUUAAGUUUUUAAUCUAUCUUGAGUUAAUUUUUGUAUUUUGUGAGAAAUGGGAAUCCAGUUCAAUCUUCUGCAUAUGGCUAGCCAAUUUUUCCAGCACUAUUUAUGUACCAGUGUACAUUUCUGUUGACUUUGUCAAAAAUCAGUUGGCUAAAGGAUCAACACCACAUGGCAGCUGCCAAGACUUAGAGCUUGCACCCUCUGAAGCAAUGGUCCAAGCUAUACCCUGACUCCUUUUAGCCACAGAUGGAGCUGAAGCAGCUGGGAUGCAGAGCACCAUGGAAUGAAGCUGAACAGAGCAGAGGGGGCCUGGGCCCAGUUCAUGAAAGCAUUUUUCCCUCUUAGGCCUCCAGGCCUGUGAUAGGAGCAUCUCUGACAUGCCCUGGAGACAUUUUCUCUACUGUAUUGGUGAUUAACAUUUGAUUCCUGUUACUCCUGCAAAUUUCUGCAGUGGGUUUCAAUUUCUCCCCAGAAAAAUGUUUUGGUUUUUUUUCCCCUAUCAUGUCAUCAGGCUGCAAAUUCUCUAAACUUUUAUACUAUGCUUCCCUUUGAAUGCUUUGCUGCUUAGAAACUUCCUCCACCAGAUCCUCUAAAUCAUCUCUCUCAAGUUCAAAAUUUCACAAAUCUCUAGGUCAGGGGAAAAUGCUGCCAGUCUCUUUGCUAAAGCAUGACAAGAGUCAUCUUUGUUUCAGUUCCCAAUGAGUUCCUCAACUCCAUCUGAGACCACUUCAGCCUGGAUUUCGCUGCCCAUAUCACUAUCACCAAUUUGGUCAAAGCCAUUCCACAGGUCUCUAGGAAGUUCCCAAUUUUCCCACAUCUUCCUGUCUUCUGAGACCUCCAAGUUUCUAGAAAGUUCAAAUUUUCUAUAAUUUCCUGUCUUCUUCUGAAUCCUCCAAACUUUCCUAACCUCUACCUUUUACCCAGUUAGAAAGUAGCUUCCACAUAUUUUCCUCAUCAUAUACAGAGCCUUAGAAACUACCAAACAUUAAGAAUUUGUAAUAGCUAACCUUCAAAGAAGCUAAUUCAGAAAUAGACACUAGUAUGUGAAAAAGUCAGCAGCAUUAUUUAAAAUGUACUGUGUGUCUGUAUUGAUUAAUUAACUUUAGAAAAUUACUAUUGCCACUGGAAAGUAUGAUUUUAUAAAUAAACAAUCCAAAAAGGACUUUCUAACA